rnacentral:rRNA from 1 species
CAGCCGCCGCGGUAAAACGGAGGGGGCUAGCGUUGUUCGGAAUUACUGGGCGUAAAGCGCACGUAGGCGGCUUGGUAAGUUAGAGGUGAAAGCCCGGAGCUCAACUCCGGAAUUGCCUUUAAGCCUGCCGAGCUAGUAGGUGAGAGAGGUAAGUGGAAUUCCGAGUGUAGAGGUGAAAUUCGUAGAUAUUCGGAAGAACACCAGUGGCGAAGGCGGCUUACUGGCUCAUUCUAGACGCUGAGGUGCGAAAGCGUGGGGAGCAAACAGGAUUAGAUACCCCUGUAGUCCCUGUCUCUUAUAC